UUGCAAGUUUUGUUUAAUUAAGAUUUUCUUAUCCCCUGCUAUGUUAAUAGCUUGCUAGACCCUGCAAGAGCCUCCUGUAUGUGAUUAAAGUUCAAUUUAGAGAUUGAGAUACAAUUAUUUAAGGUAAAUUACAUCUGUUUGAAAGGGAAACCAGUUUUUUUUUUUUUUCAUGCAGGCUCUGUCAGUCAUAGCCAGGGGAGGUGUGGCUAGGGCUGCAUAAACAGAAACGAAGUGAUUUAACUCCUAAAUGGCGGUGAAUUGAGCAGUGAAAUUGCAGGGGAAUGAUCUAUA